rnacentral:misc_RNA from 1 species
AUUUGUAUAAACAUAAAUAUCCACUCCGAGCGGGAAUACAACCCGCGACCGUCGGUGUUUAGGCGCCGCCGACACGGCACAUGCACCAUUAUAUCAAAGCGGUCGUCAAACAGCAAAAGGUAACUGCUGUAAAUUGUUGAGAAAUUCCCUCGAGUGUUUAUGGGCUCCAUCAUCAAACCUGGUCCUGCGACACAGAUGACCACACAGCAGGUAAUUGCUAUAAGUCGUUGAAAAGUUCUCUCGACUAUCUUUCGUCUCCAUCAUCAGACUGUAAUGGCACUUGUAACUCAUAUAGGUGCAAAGUUCUCAUCAAUAGAAACGAAUUAAGUUCAAACAGCAGGUAAUUGCUAUAAGUCGUUGAAGAGUUCCCUCGACUAUCUUUCUUCUCCAUCAUCAGAUCGACUCCAA